rnacentral:rRNA from 1 species
AUUGAACGCUGGCGGCAGGCUUAACACAUGCAAGUCGAGCGGAUGAAGGGAGCUUGCUCCUGGAUUCAGCGGCGGACGGGUGAGUAAUGCCUAGGAAUCUGCCUGGUAGUGGGGGAUAACGUCCGGAAACGGGCGCUAAUACCGCAUACGUCCUGAGGGAGAAAGUGGGGGAUCUUCGGACCUCACGCUAUCAGAUGAGCCUAGGUCGGAUUAGCUAGUUGGUGGGGUAAGGCCUACCAAGGCGACGAUCCGUAACUGGUCUGAGAGGAUGAUCAGUCACACUGGAACUGAGACACGGUCCAGACUCCUACGGGAGGCAGCAGUGGGGAAUAUUGGACAAUGGGCGAAAGCCUGAUCCAGCCAUGCCGCGUGUGUGAAGAAGGUCUUCGGAUUGUAAAGCACUUUAAGUUGGGAGGAAGGGCAGUAAGUUAAUACCUUGCUGUUUUGACGUUACCAACAGAAUAAGCACCGGCUAACUUCGUG